AGUGAACGCUGGCGGUAGGCCUAACACAUGCAAGUCGAACGGCAGCACAGUAAGAGCUUGCUCUUACGGGUGGCGAGUGGCGGACGGGUGAGGAAUACAUCGGAAUCUACUUUUUCGUGGGGGAUAACGUAGGGAAACUUACGCUAAUACCGCAUACGACCUACGGGUGAAAGCAGGGGAUCUUCGGACCUUGCGCGAUUGAAUGAGCCGAUGUCGGGUUAGCUAGUUGGCGGGGUGAAGGCCCACCAAGGCGACGAUCCGUAGCUGGUCUGAGAGGAUGAUCAGCCACACUGGAACUGAGACACGGUCCAGACUCAUACGGGAGGCAGCAGUGGGGAAUAUUGGACAAUGGGCGCAAGCCUGAUCCAGCCAUACCGCGUGGGUGAAGAAGGCCUUCGGGUUGUAAAGCCCUUUUGUUGGGAAAGAAAAGCAGCAGGUUAAUACCCCGCUGUUCUGACGGUACCCAAAGAAUAAGCACCGGCUAACUUCGUG
rnacentral:rRNA from 1 species